rnacentral:rRNA from 1 species
UGGGGAAUAUUGGACAAUGGGCGAAAGCCUGAUCCAGCCAUGCCGCGUGUGUGAAGAAGGUCUUCGGAUUGUAAAGCACUUUAAGUUGGGAGGAAGGGCAGUUACCUAAUACGUGAUUGUUUUGACGUUACCGACAGAAUAAGCACCGGCUAACUCUGUGCCAGCAGCCGCGGUAAUACAGAGGGUGCAAGCGUUAAUCGGAAUUACUGGGCGUAAAGCGCGCGUAGGUGGUUAGUUAAGUUGGAUGUGAAAUCCCCGGGCUCAACCUGGGAACUGCAUUCAAAACUGACUGACUAGAGUAUGGUAGAGGGUGGUGGAAUUUCCUGUGUAGCGGUGAAAUGCGUAGAUAUAGGAAGGAACACCAGUGGCGAAGGCGACCACCUGGACUGAUACUGACACUGAGUGCGAAAGCGUGGGGAGCAAACAGGAUUAGAUACCCUGGUAGUCCACGCCGUAAACGAUGUCAACUAGCCGUUGGGGAGCCUUGAGCUCUUAGUGGCGCAGCUAACGCAUUAAGUUGACCGCCUGGGGAGUACGGCCGCAAGGUUAAAAU